rnacentral:misc_RNA from 1 species
AGGCAGUUCAAGAAAACAUGCAGGUUAGUCCUCCAUUUACAUAUCCAUAUCCUUGAUAGACUAACAUGUUAUGAAUAACAUUGAGAUUUUACAUUCAAUAUAUUUUUUACGUCUAAUAAUUUUAAAAAUUCCAUUAUAUAUAUUGAAAAGGAUAGACUCUUUUUUGAUGAUGAUCACAUGCAUGGCAAUUGAUAAGGUUGGCCGGACCAAACCAUUCUUGUAAGAUUAUAUACGUGAAUUGGCAAAAGAGCAUAUAUGGUUCUUGUUCUUUAAUUUCCUUCCCUCUAUCUACCUCUUAUUCUGUGUGAUCUAAUUACCAAAUAUUUAUAUGAAAAUGACAAGUUAUUACUCUCUUUCCCAUGAUAAAAAG